CUUCAUUCUGUCAACAACGAUCGACCGAGAGCGUAAAAUAAGGUUGAGAAUGGCGUUCGACGAAAGAGGGCGAAAUCGUCAGACCGAAAGUGCAGACAUCGCGUAUCCAAGGGAAGAAACUUUCACAGCCGGAAAGAGAUUCUCAGAUGCAUUCACGAUCCACAAGCAAGCACGUCCCUUGACGCGUAACGCAGCGUGCGUGCGUGCCAGUGAGUAGAAAAAGGAAAGGAGGAGCAGAAGAAGAAGAAAAAAAAAGAGAAAGGCGGAGGGGAGCUUGUUGUCGGUGAAUGCGAACGUUGAGAGUAUUCGGAGGCGCAAAGUCGAACGAGAAGGAAGAGGAUGCCGUCCGAGAUGCCGUUACUUCGAAGAGUCACUCGGGGCAAGCCUAACCCAACUGAGAGAAUCGAGGAUAAGGAGGAAGGAGAAGGCUGCUGGAUUCCUCUUAUUAUUAUUCUUCGUUCCACCUCGAGAAACACCCGAAUGUUACUGACCUAAUACGGCACCGUCCUUAAACGCGAAUCGCUCGCGAAUUUGAACGCGAGCAAGAUCGACGCGCGACCACGAAAUUAAAAUUACCAUUGUCGAGCCGAACGGUUGGAAUCGCUUGGAAAGCUGUGGCGAGACGCGAGUCAACUCGCGUUCCCCAACGGGAAGUUGAAUCGCUUCGAAAUCAUCGUAACCGCUACGUACUACCAUGCUACGCGUGCGUUUUAUUCGCACCUCCGUAAAAAGACAAGUGGAACGUUUCUUCCAAGACACGGUUACUUUCGUAACGGAUAAGCGCGCGAGUUACGCGUAUUUCGACGAAAGGAUCGUGAAAGCAGACGUUUACCAAAGCCAAAAUAAAAUCAGGCGACUUUACCGAAUCGCGUGACGAAAGCUUCGCCGUUGUAGAUCGUAGGGCGAUCCUGAACGUACUCGAGAUGCUAAACUUCGUAUAAGAUGGCAUAGAUCGUCGUUUUAUUUCGCAAUUAUACGGAUAUACAGCGUUCCAGGUGCGAGACGAAGCAGCACUUGCAAAUCAUAAAACAAGUAAAACGAGAGUCGGUGAAUGAGAUGGUGAGCCGCUAUUCCUCCUAGCAGAGAGAAGCAAACUUCUCGGCAAGGGGUCUCGUGGUCGCUCGCGUGUCAGGUGACGGUGCUUUUCCGACGCAGCGUACUUGAGCGUACGCACUGGUGACAACGCUGCCCGUAAGUAGCUAGACGUUCAUCUACUACCUUGUUCGAUGUUUUUACAGUUAGCCGCACGCUGUGAUAUAACAGUAUAUACAUAUGUGCAUAGGUAUUGCGUUCGCGUUCGAUUUUUCCCAGCGAGAAUCGCUCGUUCCGUUGUUUCCACUAAAUUCUAUAUAUUUCGUCGCAAUUAUCGAUCCCCGUGUCGCAUAUCGUUCAGCCUACGAGCUGGACUGCUCUAGCUUGUCCUUUCGCUAUUUCGAUUCUUUUUAUUUUACAUGUAUCGCUUAGCAUAUGCUCUAUCGUGUAUAGGUAGGUAGAGUUCGCUCCCCUCGACGACCUGGAAUUCCAACGACGAUCAUUUACGAGAAUUUUGUCGCGCGGAUAUUCGAUCCUUUCGUUGCCUUAUUUCGAUUUGAAUUUGUAUUUUUUCUUCUGUUUUUUUUUUCCUAUCUUAAUUUUUCCUCUUUUCCACAAAUCGAAAUAGAAAUGUAAAUAGAUGGAAAGACGGCGGCAGACAGUGUUGUGAAAAAAACGAAUUUAUUUUUAUCUUGUUUUUACGCUUAGAUGUACUUACGACCUUACGAUCGGUGUUUUGUAUCUGCUACAACGAUUAUAUACAAUUUCUUCGAUCUUCGAUAUGGAACGAGUUUGUGGACGCGUUUAAAUCGAGCAUGAUCGCUUUCAGUGGCCGACGACGACGAAGAACAAGCUCGAAAGUUGGAACGAAAGGGCCAAAUCUCCGGUGCUCGAACCCUGGCAAACUUAUUCAGAGGUCAAUCGACGCAUCCGGCUUUAAUUAAUUGCCUUUGAUUACUUUUAAAGAACCUGUAUCCUGUCAACCCAACACCGGCAUACGAUCACCGACGAUAUAUUCGUCUCUAGUGGGAAGGUUAUUGCUGCAGGAAACAGUCUAGGCCCUAGGCGAUCCACGAUAUAGGUCGUUCAGGAAAAACACGUUUACUCGCUAACAUUCCGCUUCUUCUCUGUGUCUCGUGGACAUAGUAGUAAUGGGACUGUGUUGCAACAAUCGACGAACAAACAUCACGGGCAUGAUAAUUUUAAACAACUGGAUCGAGUAAAGUCAUCUACCGGUAAACGGAAAGAUUUUCCACUUCUGUGGUCAGGAGUUUAGAAAGUCGUUGAUAUUGUACGAGUUAGCGGGCAAAAUGUUUUUAAACGAGAGUUCUACUUCGAUUACAAUCUGAGCAAAAGCCGAGUAAUUUUUAUCUAUCAAUUUCGAAGGGAGUGGAGUUAGGACGAGGGAUCGACUUUACGAGCCUAUUAUAUCUGUAGACCCGAGGCAAGUCUGCCUGGGUAUGGCUUAGGUAUGCGCCUGCAGCUGUCCUAAAAUUCCAUCUGGGAUUGGCGUUCUUCUUCGGAAUUUUCAAAUAGUAGGUUGGGCCUUUCACACGAACCAUUCGGUUCAGGUAUAUUUUUCCUCGUCCGUGUUUCUAAGCAUCCGGAAAUUUCCAUACAGAUACGCAUAGUCUAGAAUAUGCUUUAAAUCGACACAAAUGUAGGUAUUUUUUCGGCUAUUUUUUUUUUUUUUUUUUUUUUUUUUUUUUUUUUUUUUUUUUUUUUUUUUUUUUUUU